GACGAACGCUGGCGACGUGCCUAAUACAUGCAAGUAGAACGCACAGUUUAUACCGUAGCUUGCUACACCAUAAACUGUGAGUUGCGAACGGGUGAGUAACGCGUAGGUAACCUGCCUGGUAGCGGGGGAUAACUAUUGGAAACGAUAGCUAAUACCGCAUAAUAUUAAUUAUUGCAUGAUAAUUGAUUGAAAGAUGCAAUUGCAUCACUACCAGAUGGACCUGCGUUGUAUUAGCUAGUAGGUGAGGUAACGGCUCACCUAGGCGACGAUACAUAGCCGACCUGAGAGGGUGAUCGGCCACACUGGGACUGAGACACGGCCCAGACUCCUACGGGAGGCAGCAGUAGGGAAUCUUCGGCAAUGGACGAAAGUCUGACCGAGCAACGCCGCGUGAGUGAAGAAGGUUUUCGGAUCGUAAAGCUCUGUUGUAAGAGAAGAACGGGUGUGAGAGUGGAAAGUUCACACUGUGACGGUAUCUUACCAGAAAGGGACGGCUAACUACGUG
rnacentral:rRNA from 1 species